GAGCUUUAAAAGGGACAGGAAAAUCUGGAAUAGCAUCUUCAACUAAAGAUGUCAAAGCACAAGCUCACUUCCCACGGAAGGUAGCAAUUACUAUUAUCUCUACUUGACAGCUACAAGAACCUAGGCACAGAGGUUAAGUGCUCUGCAAAUACUACCAGCCAUAUGUGGUGAUUUUCCUGCCAGAACCAAGUUCUUACCUUCCAGUGGACACCAUUGACCUCUCAAGAUUAUUCUUUAAGUUAAAAAGAAAUGUGAGAUCUCUUCGGCCAAGAAGAACAACCUGAGGACUCUAUUUCUGGAAGUAAUUGAACUCCUUUAGUAAGUCCAGAGGAGAAAUCUGAGAUCGGUACGUCUUUUGUAUCUAUGAUAGCUAAGGAUACAUCACCUGAAAGAUUCACUGUACUUACUACUUCCUUCAGCAUUUGACUCUUGGUCCUUGUGAGCUCCUUGUUCCUGCAAAGUUGGCUGGGGUCACCAUAGUCAAUCAAAAAAAUCCAUCAAUGACAGAGAUAGGGAAUCUCCAAUCUCUAUCCCAAGACAUGUUCUCGAUGACUUGAGCACAUCAACAGAAGCUCUGGAUGCAGAAGAGAGAUUUUAUCUAUGGGAAAAUGACCCUCUGAAAAGAAGUGUGAGAUCAUCAAAAAAGCCAUUGGAGGGGACACCUGGGAGUCAUGUGGCUGAGGUUUCACAAAUCCCACCAUGCUUCCAGUCCAGAGGAGAAAUCUAGACCCACUUCCUGAAAAGUAUAGGCAUCAUAAGAAGGCCACAAGGACAAAAAGAAAGAGGAAGGAGAAAAUGGAGGCCCAGUGCCCCCCUGUUCCUCCAACACCUUCAACACCACCACAAAGUGAAGAAGAUGAGGCUGUAGACAAAAAGCCAACUCUACUCAGUGCCCAGGAAGAUAAUCCUGACCUUCUCCAUGAAGACAGAUUACAGUGUCUGCAGGAAGAGGGUUCCAGUGUGAUGCAUCAGGAAUGUCAGAUCGAGUCCUGAGAGCUCUCAGUGGCUCAGAAGCCCAGGCCCUCUUCUCCUGCAGUGACAUCCUCGGCAUAACCACCAUUCUGCUCUAGCAGUUUCCUAAGCUGUGUCUGCCAGACCUUCUCAAGGUCUAGAAGCAGAAGGUGCCCAGAAGAAAGGGUAACAACCAGGCUGAGGCAGGAGGUGAUGCUGAGGUCCUGAGACCUGGCCAGGCAAAAUCAGCGCUGAGCCUCAGCAAAACGUGUAGCCACUUGAAAUUGAUACAACUUUCCUUUGUGUUUAGUUUUAUGGUUCUCUCUGUAUGUCAUUGUUCCUCUUAGUUGAGUUUUUGCCUGUCAAAGAGAUAGAGAACUGCUUUUAUGCUGAGAUCCUCAAGCCAAAACCCACAGUAAAAGCAAAGUAAA